rnacentral:rRNA from 1 species
UAAUUUUUUUGGCACGAGUUGUAGAGUGUAGGCGGGAGUCUUUGUGGAGCACGGUGUCCAAGUCCCUUGGAACAGGGCGCCUGAGAGGGUGAGAGCCCCGUGGGGUGCCGUGCGAAGCUUUGAGGCCCUGCUGACGAGUCGAGUUGUUUGGGAAUGCAGCUCCAAGUGGGUGGUAAAUUCCAUCUAAGGCUAAAUACUGGCGAGAGACCGAUAGCGAACAAGUACUGUGAAGGAAAGAUGAAAAGCACUUUGAAAAGAGAGUGAAACAGCACGUGAAAUUGUUGAAAGGGAAGGGUAUUGGGCCCGACAUGGGGAGUGCGCACCGCUGUCUCUUGUAGGCGGCGCUCUGGGCGCUCUCUGGGCCAGCAUCGGUUCUUGCUGCGGGAGAAUGGGUGCCGGAAAGUGGCUCUUCGGAGUGUUAUAGCCGGCGCCAGAUACCGCGUGCGGG